UUAAGUGUGUAAGAGCACACGGUGGAUGCCUUGGCAUCAAGAGCCGAUGAAGGACGUGGGAGACUGCGUUAAGCCUAGGGGAGUUGUCAACCGAGCGGUGAUCCUAGGAUGUCCGAAUGGGGAAACCCAGCCACAGUGAUGUGUGGUUACCUGCGCCUGAAUAUAUAGGGCGUGUGGAGGGAACGCGGGGAAGUGAAACAUCUCAGUACCCGUAGGAAGAGAAAACAACCGUGAUUCCGUGAGUAGUGGCGAGCGAAAGCGGAUGAGGCUAAACCAUAUGCGUGUCAAGCCGGCAGGCGUUGCGUGUGUGGUGUUGUGGGAGCGAGUGUGUGUGGCUGCCGUCGCACGCUGUUGAUGUUGUCGCUAGCGGAAGUCGUUUGGAACGGCGCACCGUAGUGGGUGAGAGUCCCGUACGUGAAAGUGGCAAUUGUUGAUGGUUCUUGUUUCCCGAGUAGCACCGGGCCCGUGAAAUCUGGUGUGAAUCUGUCGGGACCACCCGAUAAGCCUAAAUACUUCUUGAUGACCGAUAGCGGACCAGUACCGUGAGGGAAAGGUGAAAAGUACCCCGGGAGGGGAGUGAAAUAGUACCUGAAACCGUGUGCUUACAAUCCGUCAGAGGCUUUCGGGCUGAUGGCGUGCCUUUUGAAGAAUGAGCCUGCGAGUUAGUGGUAUGUCGCGAGGUUAACCCGUGUGGGGUAGCCGGAGCGAAAGCGAGUCCGAAGAGGGCGUUGAGUGGCAUGCUCUAGACCCGAAGCGGGGUGAUCUACCCAUGGCCAGUGUGAAGCGACGGUAAGACGUCGUGGAGGCGCGAACCCACUUAGGUUGAAAACUGAGGGGAUGAGCUGUGGGUAGGGGUGAAAGGCCAAUCAAACUCCGUGAUAGCUGGUUCUCCCCGAAAUGCAUUUAGGUGCAGCGUCGUGUGUUUCAUCUUGGAGGUAGAGCUACUGGAUGGUCGAGGGGGCUUAUCCGCUUACCGACACCAGCCAAACUCCGAAUGCCAGGAUGUGAGAGCACGGCAGUGAGACUGUGGGGGAUAAGCUUCAUAGUCGAGAGGGAAACAGCCCAGAUCGCCGGCUAAGGCCCCUAAGCGUGUACUAAGUGGAAAAGGAUGUGGGAUCGCUUAGACAACCAGGAGGUUGGCUCAGAAGCAGCCACCCUUGAAAGAGUGCGUAAUAGCUCACUGGUCAAGUGGUCCUGCGCCGACAAUGUAGUGGGGCUCAAGUACACCGCCGAAGCCGCGGCAUUCCAGUUUUCUGGGAUGGGUAGGGGAGCGUCGUGUAUCCGUUGAAGCUGCAGAGUGAUCUAGUGGUGGAGGGUAUGCGAGUGAGAAUGCAGGCAUGAGUAGCGAAUGACAUGUGGGAAACAUGUCCUCCGGAUGACCAAGGGUUCCUGGGCUAGGCUAAUCCUCCCAGGGUGAGUCGGGUCCUAAGGCAAGGCCGACAGGCGUAGUCGAUGGAUAACGGGUUGAUAUUCCCGUACCCGUAUAAGCGCGCCCAUGGUGAAUCAGUGAUACUAACUGUCCAGAAGCUGCUGCUGCCUUUUUUUGAGGUGGUGGUUGUGGAUGCACGGGACCUGAUCUGGUAGUAGCCAAGCGAUGGGGUGACGCAGGAAGGUAGCUGUGCCAGGUAGUGGAUUGCCUGGUGUAAGCGUGUAGGGUGACAGGUUGGUAAAUCCGCUUGUUGUGUACCUGAGACGUGAUGCGUAGCCAUUGUGGUGAAGUCAGUGAUCCUAUGCUGCCGAGAAAAGCCUCUAGUGAGUUCUUAUACGGCCCGUACCCCAAACCGACACAGGUGGUCAGGUAGAGAAUACUAAGGAGUUCGAGAGAACUGUGGUUAAGGAAUUCGGCAAAAUGCCCCCGUAACUUUGGAAGAAGGGGGACCGGUGUUGGUGAUCACCUUUUCGGUGUGAGCUGAUGUCGGUCGCAGAGACCAGAGAGAAGCGACUGUUUACCAAAAACACAGGUCCGUGCGAAGACGUAAGUCGAUGUAUACGGACUGACGCCUGCCCGGUGCUGGAAGGUUAAGAGGACUGGUUAGUGGCCCUUGUGGCUGCGAAGCUGAGAAUUUAAGCCCCAGUAAACGGCGGUGGUAACUAUAACCAUCCUAAGGUAGCGAAAUUCCUUGUCGGGUAAGUUCCGACCUGCACGAAUGGCGUAACGAACCCCGGGACCUUCACUAUAGCUUGGCAUUGGUGUUCGGUUUUGUUUGUGUAGGAUAGGUGGGAGACUGUGAAGCUUAAACGCCAGUUUGGGUGGAGUCGUUGUUGAAAUACCACUCUGAUGAAAUUGGACCUCUAACCUCGGACCAUGAUCUGGUUUAGGGACAGUGCCUGGUGGGUAGUUUAACUGGGGCGGUUGCCUCCCAAAGAGUAACGGAGGCGCCCAAAGGUUCCCUCAGCCUGGUUGGCAAUCAGGUGUUGAGUGUAAGUGCACAAGGGAGCUUGACUGUGAGACUGACAGGUCGAGCAGGGACGAAAGUCGGGACUAGUGAUCCGGCACCGGCUUGUGGAAGCGGUGUCGCUCAACGGAUAAAAGGUACCCCGGGGAUAACAGGCUGAUCUUCCCCAAGAGUCCAUAUCGACGGGAUGGUUUGGCACCUCGAUGUCGGCUCGUCGCAUCCUGGGGCUGGAGUCGGUCCCAAGGGUUGGGCUGUUCGCCCAUUAAAGCGGCACGCGAGCUGGGUUCAGAACGUCGUGAGACAGUUCGGUCUCUAUCCGCCGUGCGCGUAAGAAACUUGUGGAAGGCUGCCCCUAGUACGAGAGGACCGGGGUGGACGAACCUCUGGUGUGCCAGUUGUUCCGCCAGGAGCAUGGCUGGUUGGCUACGUUCGGAAGGAAUAACCGCUGAAAGCAUCUAAGCGGGAAGUCUGUUCCAAGAUGAGGUUUCUCACCACCUUUGCGUGGGUAAGGCCCCCAAUAGACGAUUGGGUUGAUAGGCCGGAUCUGGAAGCACAGUAAUGUGUGGAGGUGACCGGUACUAAUGGGCCGAGG
rnacentral:rRNA from 1 species